rnacentral:rRNA from 1 species
UACGUAGGUGGCGAGCGUUGUCCGGAUUUACUGGGCGUAAAGGGAGCGUAGGCGGACUUUUAAGUGAGAUGUGAAAUACUCGGGCUCAACUUGAGUGCUGCAUUUCUAACUGGAAGUCUAGAGUGCAGGAGAGGAGAAUGGAAUUCCUAGUGUAGCGGUGAAAUGCGUAGAGAUUAGGAAGAACACCAGUGGCGAAGGCGAUUCUCUGGACUGUAACUGACGCUGAGGCUCGAAAGCGUGGGGAGCAAACAGG